rnacentral:rRNA from 1 species
UUAGCGGCGGACGGGUGAGUAACACGUAGGCAACCUGCCCUCAAGCUUGGGACAACUACCGGAAACGGUAGCUAAUACCGAAUACUUGUUUUCUUCGCCUGAAGGGAACUGGAAAGACGGAGCAAUCUGUCACUUGAGGAUGGGCCUGCGGCGCAUUAGCUAGUUGGUGAGGUAACGGCUCACCAAGGCGACGAUGCGUAGCCGACCUGAGAGGGUGAUCGGCCACACUGGGACUGAGACACGGCCCAGACUCCUACGGGAGGCAGCAGUAGGGAAUCUUCCGCAAUGGGCGAAAGCCUGACGGAGCAAUGCCGCGUGAGUGAUGAAGGUUUUCGGAUCGUAAAGCUCUGUUGCCAGGGAAGAACGCUUGGGAGAGUAACUGCUCUCAAGGUGACGGUACCUGAGAAGAAAGCCCCGGCUAACUACGUGCCAGCAGCCGCGGUAAUACGUAGGGGGCAAGCGUUGUCCGGAAUUAUUGGGCGUAAAGCGCGCGCAGGCGGGU